rnacentral:rRNA from 1 species
GAUGAACGCUGGCGGCGUGCUUAACACAUGCAAGUCGAACGGAAAGGCCACAGCUUGCUGUGGUACUCGAGUGGCGAACGGGUGAGUAACACGUGGGUGAUCUUCCCUGUACUUCGGGAUAAGCGUGGGAAACUGGGUCUAAUACCGGAUAGGACUCACAUGGGGGUGUGUGGUUGGAAAGCUUUUGCGGUAUGGGAUGGGCUCGCGGCCUAUCAGCUUGUUGGUGGGGUAAUGGCCUACCAAGGCGUCGACGGGUAGCCGGCCUGAGAGGGUGUACGGCGACAUUGGUACUGCGAUACGGACCAGACUCGAACGGGAGGCAGCAGGAGGGAAUAUUGCACAGUAAGGGCAAGCCUGAUACAGCGGCGCUGGGUGGGUGAUGACGGCCUUCGGGUUAUGAACUCCUUUCGUCAGAGACGAAGCGAAAGUGACGGUACCUGGAUAAGAAGCACCGGCUAACUACGUG